CCUUAGAAUAACAGCGUGCUCCAGCUCCCAGUUAAAUAUGAUCCUAAAUCCAAGGUCCAACCUUUGCUACUGCGUUAAGAGUCAGUAAAAGGUAGGUUCGCCUUUUUUGAUUUUGUUUAGAUUCCUUCGUUUUGAAUGCUUUUUGAUCGUGUGGUGUUAUGUACAUCGUUCGUUGUAUUAGCAACAUGAGCUAGCUGCAGGUUAACCGUCAAAGCGUGCUAACCUUGUUAUAGCAUAUUUAACCGGGUUUUCUUUUAAGUAGUCCGUUAAUUAGAUUGUUUUUAUUUCAGAGUGUGAUAAGAAGUUUAUACUCCAAAAAUUCAAUAAGUUAAUAUGUAUAAUUAUUUUGUGGCAUUAAUACAAGCAAUAGCUAGUAGGUUAAAACAAGCUCCACAGCUUGUUGUAUGCACGUUUUGUUAUGCAUAAUGUGAUUGACUAUCUUUCCCGUUAAAUUGUUUUUGUCGAUACAUAGACAAGAGUAAAAUAUGGAAGUACAAUAUGCAUCAGUUUUCAAACUGUUUUCUUAGCAGUUUCAUGUACACUUAUGCUAAUGCUGGAGAUCUACAGCUUUACAUUGACAAUAUUUACAAAAGCAAUUCAAAAUAAGAAAAAUUGAAAAACAAGGAACUUAAAAAAUCCCCAAAACAGGCAGGCCCUGUUGAAAAUUUUAACUCCUCAACUUUACUCAACUUUCAGGAUACCUACAAAAGAGACAGAGGAGGUUCCUUUGACCUGAACCUAAACCUAAACAGAGAUUGACUCCAGUGUCCUUCUGCUCAUGACAGAUGAGCAGCUUAAGGAGUAUCUCCCAUCUUAUGGUGACCGACUGGCACUUCUCGGAUAUUGCAGACGAAGGGAAAAUGAUCCUGCUGGCCGGAAAUCAAAACUUUUUGACCGAUUGAGAGCCAAGAUUUCAAGGAACAAAGGCAACGAUCAAAAGCAGAUCUCAGAAAAUGUUAGCAUCAGAAAUGCUCAAAAAACUGUUCGAAAAGUUGAGAUAGGAUGGAUGAAUUCUCGAGAUGGGAAGCUUUUUCAAGUUCGGACAAAGGAAGGUGGUGGAACAAGAAAAAUUGAUGUGUCAAAGGACUGUAGAAAAAAUGACUUAAUUGAAAAGGCAGUGGGUUUGUUUUUUCCGUCUCAAAGAAAUAUUGUUACUAGAAUUUUUUUUACUUUUAAUUUUACUUGAGGCUGCAAAAGCUGGUUUGUUACACAAUUAAAAAUACAAUAUGGCCGCCGCGCUUGUAAACAAGCAGCUCUUAGUUGCAUAAAUAAUUUAUGAAUAAUUUCUGAUGUUUUGUUUCUUAUAUUAGUCACAUAAUUUAAAUGUUCAGUGGAUGAACAUGUUGCUACUCUGUUUGAAUGCAGUUCUGGAAGAAAUGGAGUAAAGUGUUUCAUUUACCCUUAUUCCUCAAAAAAUUUCUUUUGUUUACUCAGCAUUUUAUUUAUAUUUUUGUUUUAAGUAAACAUAACCUUAAAAUAUUUUCAAUAACAGAUUGGUGCCAUUGCAGUAGCUCAAUAUCAGAUUUAACCAGAAAACAACUGAAAAAGAACCCUUUUUUUUUUUUUUUUUUUUUUACACCUUGAAGCAUUGUCAUUAUCUUAAAGGAUUAUUUUAAAAUACUCAAAGGCUUCUCUAAUAGCUAAAUAGAGACUUUAAUUUUGAAGUUCAAUAAACCGCUUUUUCCAGUU